rnacentral:rRNA from 1 species
UGGGGAAUUUUGGACAAUGGGCGAAAGCCUGAUCCAGCAAUGCCGCGUGUGUGAAGAAGGCCUUCGGGUUGUAAAGCACUUUUGUCCGGAAAGAAAUCCUUGGCCCUAAUACAGUCGGGGGAUGACGGUACCGGAAGAAUAAGCACCGGCUAACUACGUGCCAGCAGCCGCGGUAAUACGUAGGGUGCAAGCGUUAAUCGGAAUUACUGGGCGUAAAGCGUGCGCAGGCGGUUUGCUAAGACCGAUGUGAAAUCCCCGGGCUCAACCUGGGAACUGCAUUGGUGACUGGGCAGGCUAGAGUAUGGGCAGAGGGGGGUAGAAUUCCACGUGUAGCAGUGAAAUGCGUAGAGAUGUGGAGGAAUACCGAUGGCGAAGGCAGCCCCCCUGGGCCAAUACUGACGCUCAUGCACGAAAGCGUGGGGGAGCAAAACAGGAUUAGAUACCCUGGUAGUCCACGCCCUAAAACGAUGUCAACUAGUUGUUGGGGAUUCAUUUCCUUAGUAACGUAGCUAACGCGUGAAGUUGACCGCCUGGGGGAGUACGGUCGCAAGAUUAAAACUUAAAGGAAUUGACGGGGUCAUAGCUGUUUCCU